GGGGAUAUGGCUCAGUUGGUAGAGUGCUUGCCUUGCAUGCAAAAGGCCCUGGGUUCAAUCCCCAGCACCA
rnacentral:tRNA from 1 species